GUUAUAAUAGCUUAAUAGGAAAAGCCGAUGCCUGUUAAGCAUCAAGAUCAGGGUUCAAAUCCUUGUUAUAACG